rnacentral:rRNA from 1 species
GACGAACGCUGGCGGCGUGCCUAAUACAUGCAAGUCGAGCGGAACUGGGGGAGCUUGCUCCUUCCAGUUUAGCGGCGGACGGGUGAGUAACACGUGGGCAACCUGCCCUGCAGAUCGGGAUAACUCCGGGAAACCGGUGCUAAUACCGAAUAGUUUGGCGCCUCUCCUGAGGCGCUACGGAAAGACGGUUUCGGCUGUCACUGCAGGAUGGGCCCGCGGCGCAGUUAGCUAGUUGGUGGGGUAACGGCCCACCAAGGCGACGACGCGUAGCCGACCUGGGAGGGUGACCGGCCACACUGGGACUGAGACACGGCCCAGACCCCUACGGGAGGCAGCAGUAGGGAAUCUUCCGCAAUGGACGCAAGUCUGACGGAGCAACGCCGCGUGAGUGACGAAGGUUUUCGGAUCGUAAAACUCUGUUGUGAGGGAAGAACACGUACCAACUAACUAUUGGUACCUUGACGGUACCUCACCAGAAAGCCACGGCUAACUACGUGCCAGCCGCCGCCGUAA